rnacentral:rRNA from 1 species
AGAGGGGGACAACAGUUGGAAACGACUGCUAAUACCGCAUAAGCCCACGACCCGGCAUCGGGUAGAGGGAAAAGGAGCAAUCCGCUUUGAGAUGGCCUCGCGUCCGAUUAGCUAGUUGGUGAGGUAACGGCCCACCAAGGCGACGAUCGGUAGCCGGACUGAGAGGUUGAACGGCCACAUUGGGACUGAGACACGGCCCAGACUCCUACGGGAGGCAGCAGUGGGGAAUAUUGCACAAUGGGGGAAACCCUGAUGCAGCGACGCCGCGUGGAGGAAGAAGGUCUUCGGAUUGUAAACUCCUGUUGUUGAGGAAGAUAAUGACGGUACUCAACAAGGAAGUGACGGCUAACUACGUGCCAGCAGCCGCGGUAAAACGUAGGUCACAAGCGUUGUCCGGAAUUACUGGGUGUAAAGGGAGCGCAGGCGGGAAGACAAGUUGGAAGUGAAAUCCAUGGGCUCAACCCAUGAACUGCUUUCAAAACUGUUUUUCUUGAGUAGUGCAGAGGUAGGCGGAAUUCCCGGUGUAGCGGUGGAAUGCGUAGAUAUCGGGAGGAACACCAGUGGCGAAGGCGGCCUACUGGGCACCAACUGACGCUGAGGCUCGAAAGUGUGGGUAGCAAACAGGAUUAGAUACCCUGGUAGUCCACACUGUAAACGAUGAUUACUAGGUGUUGGAGGAUUGACCCCUUCAGUGCCGCAGUUAACACAAUAAGUAAUCCACCUGGGGAGUACGACCGCAAGGUUGAAACUCAAAGGAAUUGACGGGGGCCCGCACAAGCAGUGGAGUAUGUGGUUUAAUUCGACGCAACGCGAAGAACCUUACCAAGUCUUGACAUCCUGCGACGGUGCUGGAAACAGUACUUUCCUUCGGGACGCAGAGACAGGUGGUGCAUGGUUGUCGUCAGCUCGUGUCGUGAGAUGUUGGGUUAAGU